rnacentral:lncRNA from 1 species
UGUAUUUAUUGUGAAUUUUAGAAUGCUUAACAUCCCUAUGUCAUGUAUAAUGAAUUUUCGGACCUCUAUAUAGUAGAGAGAGAGUUGCAUGUGAAGCUUGCACUAGCAUUGGGCAUUCUUAUGUUGGACUCGAGACCAUGUUUCUUACAAUGAAAUUGGACAUUGCUUCAUGCAUUUAAACCUAUACCUAAUUGAGACAUAAGGGACUUUAGUAAGCCUUAAGAGGCUUGGGGACUUGUACUACUUGAGAAUGAUUGGGCUAAUGUCAUAAAGGGGCAUUGAGCUCGGGUUAAAUGAGAACCUAGUACUAAUGUCAUGAAUGGAACAUAGAAUAUGAAAUGUGUUUAAUUUAUAACAAGCUUAAGUGUCAUAAAGAGGCACUAAGCAUAGUGAGUGUUGGAACAUCACCUUGAGACAUUGAACUAGAUCUUUGGGAUGCUAGUGGCUUUGACCAUGUUAGAGACAUGAUGAUUGGACAUUUGAGACAUUGACUACGCUUGCUUGCCAUUUGUGCUUAUUCGCACACGCUUGUGAGGGUCGCUCCCUACAAGCCGGCACUCCGGAGUUGGCCUACGCGACUUAUACUCGGUCGUGCGGUAUCGAGAAAC